GCGGGUGGGUCAGCCGGAGGGAGGGCACUGGGUUCAGGCUGCAGGGCGGCAGCCUCCAGACACCAGCUGCAAACCUGGGAGGGGAGAGAGGAAGCCCAGAGUGCCAAAGCCAAGCCAGGGCUGGAAUUAUGUUGCUGAGGCUCCAGACCUCUGCUCUCCUGCCUCCCACCUUCUCUACCCAGAGACCCUCUCCUGGACCCAGCCCCCUCAGGACCCGCUCCAUAGCAGCGGCCCCCGCUGCAGGAAGUCACGCGUCUCCGCAUCUGAGAAUCCUCUCCGAGCCACUUGCCCUGUGACCCUGGGCAAGUCUCAACCCCUCCCAGCUUGGGGGGGCUCAUCUGUCCACCACACGAGAUCACUGCUGUGAAAGUACCUGGCUUGUGUGUCAAUGGCCCGUGCUUACUGAGCACCUGCUGUGUGCCAGGCUCUUUUCCAGGCACUUUACCUUCAUUAAUUCAGUUAAUCCUCCCACCAACCCUGUAAGUGGCAUACUAUUCCCUGUUACCCUCUCCUCCCCAGGAUGGAGAAGGUCCCACCUCACAGGGGCAUGGUGAGGGACAAAUGAGAUAAUGGAAGAAAAUUGCCUUGGACAGAGCUAGGCACCUGGGUCGCACACCCGAAGCCUCAGGAGCCAGGUACGUGGCGUCAGCUGAGCUCCCCACACUGGUUUAAUUUCCCUGUUCCACACCCCGCAUGGCAGACACCAGGUGGGCAAUGCUGGCUGCAGUUUCCUGCCAUUAACAGAAGGCACCGUGCAUCCCUGGAGUCCCAAGAGGCAGGGCCAGACUGGGUCCCCUGGCUCCCUGCCCCUCGUGGGGCAGCCCUGCGGGACGAGGCUAGCCAGACAGAGCCGGUCCCAGAGGAUGCUCCCCACUGCCUGUCAGUCCCUGCCCAGCCCAGGCCUCCUGCUCGCCCUCCAGGUCCCACCAUGACCGCCCCCCCUCAGGUGCCCGCCCUCUCUCGCCUGACUACUUCCAUGGCCUCCUCACUGUUCUCUCCACUCCCACUCCUCUCUGCCCCACAGUCCUCCCUCCCACCCAGCCAGAAGGGUCUUUCUAAACCCCGAUGUGACACUGUUGCUCCCCCAUCUGCCGUAGCUCCCACCCCCCUCUAACCUUUGGCCCGGCAUUCAAGACCCUUCUCAGUUUGGGCCUUACUACCUUUUCCCACCUAGAGACCACACUCUAGGAAUCCUGCGUUCGGUGGCGCCUUCUUGCUUCCCACGCCCUUUCACACCCCUGAGUCUCUGCAUGUGCUGUGCAUCCUUCCUUUAAUUCAUUCUUUGUUUAACUAAUACUUGAGGUUACUGCACACGGGCACUGCUUAGGCACAGAAAUAUGAAAGCAAACAAAAACAACAAAGGCCCUCCCCUCAGAGAGCUUACAUGCUAGUGCGAGAGCCAGAGAAUUAACAAAUCAGCAAAUUUAAAGUGCAUCAGAUGAGGACCAUGCUCAAAGGUUAAAGCAGAGAAAGGGGACUUGAAAUGUUAAGGCAAGGAGGAUGCUGGCAUCUUACACAGGGUGGCCAGGGAUGAUCUUGCUGGGCCCAGCCCAGGACCUUCCCACCUUGGGAGAAGCUUAUGUGCCUGGGAGUUAGGGGGCUGAAUCUGAGCCAUUCCAGCAGGGCUUCCUGGAGGAGGCAUCCUGAUGCUGACCUUGAAGCAUGGGAGGUUAGUACACAGGGUGUGAGAAUCCCAAUAGGAGGGGUUCCUGAUGGAACCUGGGAGUUGAUUCACUCCUAACCCAUUGGAUGCCAGGCAGGGGGCAGCCCUCACCCUAAAACUGGGCCUUGAACCUCGACUACUGGCCCAGGUACUUCACCCCCAGGAGCACCUCAACUCCCACCAGACCCUGUUCUCUGGAUCAGGAACUGUGGGGCUGAGCCAGUCAGGGAGAGUACAUCAGGCAGGAACACGGCCUGAGCAAAUGCCUGGGGCCCAGACUCAGUGUGGCCUGUGGGGAGGGCAGGUGGACAUGGUGGACAAUGGGCUGGGCCUUCCAAGGGGCAACCAUGCCAGGUCCCCAGCCAAGGUGGCCAAGGAGCACAGUUUGUGGCCAAGUUGCCACAGCCCACUCUGACUUUAUUUUAUGAACUUAAUUUGUCCCACACAUCACGCCAACAGCUCAGAAUCAGGCCGCCACGGGAGCCACUUACCUUGUUCUUCUGCUACAAUUCUGCCUGUGCUUAGGUAAAGUGGGCCCCGUGGUGCUUCUCUGCUGCUGAUUUGUGCCCGGAGCCUCUGGGGAUGGGGUGGUUCCGUUGCUAUUUGCAGAAGGCCCCUGGGGCUUGGAAAUCUGACCUAGUAUAGUUUCUUAUCCCUGGGCUCAGAGCAAAUUCACUGUCCCCAUUUUACAGGUAUGGAAGGUAAGGCUCGUGGUUACACAGUGAUUCUGUGGCAGAGAACCCAGGCCUGCUGCGUCUCAGCUGGAGCACUUUCCGUUGCCUCAUCCAGUUCAGGAUUUUGUCAACAAGUCUUCUCAGCCUAGGUGGAAGACCCCCAGGAUGCCUCUGCCUUCCCCACCUAGACCCCACAGAAUCUCCCUACACAGCUCCCAGCCCUGCCACCAGAGGGAACUGGUGAGUUUAGGUGGCAUCCUUGCUGAAAACAACCAUGGAGGUCCACGGAGAUCCAUCCCACAUUAGGGACUGAUUUCCCCAGUGUGUGGCGGUCAUAUCGGGAGGGAUGCACAGGGUGAUUUUAGGCGAUACAUGGCCAAAUAUCUUCUUUUCACAGUAAUGUAUUUAUUUUCAAGUGUAUUUAGAAAAAAAUAACAAGCACAUCAAACCUGGUAUUAUUGCCAAGGACACAUGAAGAAAGGCUUUGUUUCAAUUCAAAAUAGAAGAAUACACACAGGUAGAGAGAGAAUGUUAGCGAUUGUUGAAUUUUGGAUAAGGAUAUAGGGUGUUCAUUUUCUAGUCUUUCACCUCUUCUAUGUAAUAGAGGAAUUGCAGAGUACAAAGUUGGUUGGGGGAGAAUAAAACUGAGGAGUGGUGGAUGUCACUGUGCAAUGCUGAGCAAGGGCAGGUCUGAAAGGGCAGCUCUAUUACACAGAGCUCCACGUGUUUGAGAGCGCACGGCUGCAGAGCGAAGAAUGGACAGGCGGGAGAGAACAGAGGUGACUUCGGAGCUGCUGCCGUGGUCCGGGGAGGCUGCCGUGGGAUGGGGAAAACGCCUGUUUUCUCUGCUCUCAGUAAUAGAGCACAGCCAUAUGCAGACUUGGGAGCCUGACUACCCCCGUGUGGCUCUGGCCUGUGGCCUUGAACAAGUUCCUUCACCUGCUUCAGUGUCUCCCUCUAAAAAUUGAGGUAGUAAUAGUACCUGGUACCUCAUCAGGUUAUUCUGAGGCUCUGACAAGUUAAUAGAUGUAAGGCAUCGGAACAGUGCCCCACCAGAGGCAGGACUCCAGAAACGCUGGCUGUGCUAUAGCUGGUCCAUUCCUCAGAGGACUCUUGGCAGGGCACUGACGUGGGUCAUGGUGGAAAACAGCCUGGUGCCCGGUGAUGGCCCUGCACUGGGGAGCACUUCAUGACACACACGCACAGAUCCCAGCCAAUUCUGCAUUCAAAAUGCAUUAUAUAAAUCAAUCAGAUUUAUUAAUACUUCUAUUGGGCUGUUAAUUUUUUAUUUUAAUUUAAAAAUUUUAAUAACAUUGUUUUGUUUUCACUGUUCAUUUUUAAGAUGAAAGUCUGAGGCACAUCAUGCUGGUUUCAUUUGCAGGAAUAAUGAAAAGUUUCCUUUUAAAAUAAAGUUUAAGAGAGUUGGUCGGUCUCUGAACUACCUUCACAAUAUUCCUAUAAAUCUAAAACUGUUCUAAAAUUAAAAAUUUAUUCUAAAAACUCA